AGUAGUAGUGGCAGAGAAACGGUAACUCCUCUUUAAGCACCUUUGUAAAUUUUUUCAUUCAUUUUCUACACGUCGAAGCGACGUCGUCGUCUCGUUUGUCUUUUUUUUUAAUUGUGUGUGUGUUUUUGAGUGUGAAAAAAUGUUGUAGAAAAGAUUAUAAUAUUUUUUUCGAGACACAAAAAGAAGAAUGAAGGGAAAAAAUUUGUUUAAAUAAGAAAAUAUUUUGUAAAAAAAGUGAUGUUUUUUUAUACAAAUGGCAAAUAGUUUUUGAUAAAAUCUUAAAGUUAAAAAAAUAGAUAAAUUUAAACAAUUUAAAGAGAAAAUGUUGUGAUUUGUAAUAAGAAAAGUGGAAAUUUUCUUGCUAAAGUAGGCCAAAUCAAAAAAGCAGAAAUAAAAAAAAAACACACACAAGGAGAACAAGAAAUUACACAAAAUACAAAAAUAAAAAACCAACGAAAUAACAGCAAAAAGCAGAGCACAAGUUAUAAUAAAAUAUAUAAAAUAAAUUUAUAAAGAAAUAAAAUAAUAUAAAAAAAAUUGAAAAUGUACUUGAAGAGGAAGCAGUGAGAAAAGCAAAAUGUAAAAAAAAAAAUCAUUUUUGAAGAAUAUUUUGUGUAUAUUUUUACAAAACACACACACACACUACUUACACAUAAAAAGAAAAGCAGCAACUAAAAAACAUCAACAACAACUGCAAUAAGCAGUCAAUGUUAAAUAAAAAGUGUGUUGUAAUAAUAAUAUAAUAGUUUUUAUAUAAAAAAGUGAAAUAAUUUAAAAAAAGUUAAGAUAUAAGAAUUUUAAUAAUUUAAAGAAAGCUGAAAGAAAAAGAUUUUACAGCAAAAAAUAACAAGCAAGCAAGCAGCAAACAACAGCAACAACAUUAUUAAAUCUAAAAAAAACAAGUUGAGUAAAAGCCACAUACUCACACAUACUCUCACUAAAAACAUACAAAAAUUAACUACGUUUAUUUUUUUUGCUUCUCUGUUACCUUCCCCACUACCUUUACGUGAAAUAGCAACAACAACUACAACUACUUAUUUAAACGGUAGAAAUAUAAAUGUUAUAAAAAAUAGAGAGAGAAACAAAAAAACCCCGCUAAAAAAACCUCAAAAAAAAAAAAACAUUAACAAAAGAAAGUGGUGAAACUUCUUGGGUAACUUAUUACUAAAACAACAACAACAACAUUUAUAAAAAUGUCUAACAAACAAGUUGUUUAACAACAAAAACAACAACAUUAUAAAAAUAUU